AUUUUUAAUGGUUGACCUCGGAUCAGGUAGGAAUACCCGCUGAACUUAAGCAUAUCAAUAGGCGGGACGAACUU
rnacentral:rRNA from 1 species